CCCCUCUCAGGGUGGCAUCUGGAGAGUGUCCAGUACUCUACCAGUUUCGACUAUGGGAGGGAGAGUCGAGCAGAGGCUUGUCCGUUCCAUUCCAUUCCUAGCCUGGGCAGUGAUUAGCGAGUGGAAAACCAUCUGCUACAAGA